GGUAAGCCGCCAAUGGGAAGGAUGAGACGAAUGCUAGGAAGAAAACGAGACGAGGUGGUCCGAUCUCGGCCACUGACAUCCACAGCCCGUCCUCAGCUUCUGCUGUUUCAGCUAUUGACUUGCUUGCUUCACUGGGAAGACCUUGGCUGGGACUCCCAAAAGACACAAACAGUGUCGUCUCUGUCCCUUGCUCUUUGGUAUCCUUUCCUGAGAUUGCUCCCUCGGUGAAGUGACCCAGUAGCAAAAGUAGGAAGCAAGGCAUCCAGGCAAUCAUUUCUCAGGUACUGUGGCUUUUCAUGAAGCUGAGGGUUUGAGUUCGUACCUGUCAGUAUCAACAGUGCUUAAUUACUAUUCUUAUGAUCCGAAUUAAGAAAAAUAAAGCCCUACCAGUUAUUAGGAGAGGAAACAAGGGGAAAUGAUUUUAUCAGUUCUUGCAGUUUUAUUUUAAAGUUUCCCACGUGUCUGCAAAAAACUAUCAUCUGUGUCACCACAUAAAGAAUUUUGAUUUGUAACUCAGCUGACUAGACUCUCCUUACAAUUGAUGUUUAAGACAUUUGUGCCCUGUUUUCGUUGGUACAUGGGAAUUUGGAGUGUGACCCGUGACUCAUCAGUUGACGUUGUAGUGCAUUUUUAGAAACAAAGAAUGCAAUAGCAGGUUUCCCCAAGCAGCAGUGGUGCAAGUAAAAACCGGAAAACACACAUUUGUCUGUAUUGGCUGGUGUCAUUACAGCUAUAUGUUAAAUUGAUUCUUAGAAAUGUGUUACAACCCUGGAUUUUGGAGUAGAAUAGGUAUAAGCUAUGUUAUGUGUCCUGAAAAAAUUCUUAUUAUGUGGCAGUAACUGCAUUUCUCCCUUUUUUAUGGUCUGAAGUCACUUUAUAGAUAAAUAUGAUACUUAAUAUUUAGGCUUGUAUUUUACUUAUUUUUGAAACAGAUGAAGCAGUGAAGAAAAAACGUUGUCUUGGGCAUACUACCUAAUUUUCAGUGCUCCAUAAAACGGUCUUUAUUUUUUAUUUUUUUUAAUUGCUAUAAAAUUUUUAGUUUCUUUAUAUUUCAUUUCUUCUGAAUUUUGGGAAGAAGAGAUUAUAUCAACUCCUUGAUAUUGCUUGAUUUUUAAAAGUUUUUGCUAUUUUAAAAAAUUUUAUGGUGUCUUUCACCUUUAAAUUUUUUUAAAUUCUGUAUUUAAAUUGUUUUUAUGUUCAAUGUGUGCAUCUUGUUUGUUUGCUUAGCUUUUUAGUUUCAUGAAUGUAAGAACCGAGCAUGGCUGCUAGAAUUUCUACCUCCUCCGGCUCCUGCACUGAUAUACAGCAGUACACAUAGAAGUCAGCCUGCACCAAUGGAUAUCUUAAUGAAAGACAAGUCUUAUCACACUCCUUUAUCCAGCCAGCCAGCUCCACUGCAGAGUUGACUGCUGUUAGAGGGUUUUUGUAUAUCCCUCUAGGCGUGUUUUGUGCAUAUACACUCCACUGUGUAUCUCUGUACAGAUAGGUUUGGUUGGUUUUNUUUCUUUUUUGUCUUUUCGUCUUUUUAGGGCCACACCCGCAGCAUAUGGAAGUUCCCAGGUUAGGGGUACAAUCAAAGCUGUAGCCCACAGCCUACACCAGAGUCACAGCAACCUCAGGGUUCCUAGUCGGAUUCACUUCCGCUGCACCACGAUGGGAACUCCUAGAUGUUUUUAAACAUAACACUGUUUGUACUCUGAUUUAAGUUAGCUCCAAAUUUGUGUUAAGUUGCUCAUCUUUUUGAAAUUUAACUUAGUUGUCUUUUUAGUUGUCUCCUGGUCUCGUCUGAAUUAUAUUACCUUUUUUUAAAAAAAAGUGAUUCUCUUGAAGAACAUGUAAACAUUACCAUAGAGGGGUUUUCUCUGCUGGAUAUGAUUAUAGAAAAAAAGAUCAUCUGAACUUUUUUAAAAACUAAAAUCAUGACCUGUUGUUUAUUCCUUUUUAAAGGGAUACUGGACAUGGUAAACUCUAGUCAUUUUCCAGCCUUCUUUGGUGUAGCUGAGGUUCUACACCUGGAAGAAUGGCUGCUUGGUACAUUCGAAAUUUUCCUGAAAAGCUUGGAUAGUAGCAAAUAUUACAGUAAAAAUACCGAAAGAAAAGUUCCUUGUUUAACAGAUCUGCUUGCUAAUUGGAAAUAUCUCAGUGUGUUUUACAGGGUUCAUCAGUUCUACAGAUUGUACCUUAUAGUAUUAAUGUUUGUAGUGGGCACUCUUAGAAUAACUUUCAUUUUGAGAAAUGUUGAAUGCAUCAAUUUUUUUCUAAAAAGGAGAGGAGGAAAAGUUUUUCCCUUAAGUUCAAUUAGAAUACGAUGUUAGAUCUGGAGGGCAAUAAAAGUAAAUUAUUUUCAGUAAUUUAAGAGCAUCAGCCUACAAGUCUUUAAUGUUUUCCUGUGUAUUAUUGCCUUCCGUUAGGUUGUGACGUGUAAAUAGGAAGAACGUGAAUCUGAAUCACUGCCGUUACUACCAUUUGAGUGACAACUCUGGCUGUCACUCUGCUGGAGCUUGAAAUAUCCUAUGCACAGAUGCUCACCCAGUAUGCAUCACCCCAUGUGUAUGCCCUUGUGUAAAGGCAUCUUUUCCUAUUGGGUGAUUCUAUAGUGAGGCUUCCUAUGUCAUACAGACUUGGCUUGUGCAGCGGUUAUCUGCUCCUUAGGUUGUAAGUUCUUUGAGGGAAGACUCUUAGUCCUCUAGAUACACUUUUCAUUCUUAUAUAGAUAUAGAUGCUUGUAUCGGAGUUGCCCAGUGUAGUGACCACUAGCUUUACGGGGUUUUGAGCAUUUGAAGUGUUGCUAGUCCCAACUGAUGUGUGUCGUAAGUAUACAAUGCACACUGGAUUUCAAACGCUUGAUAUUGGAAAAGGCUAAGAUAAUUAGUAUUGAAAAAGAUCAUAAGAUAAUUAAUUUUAAAAUUAUUAAUUAUAGUGAUAAAAUUUGGUUAUACUGGAUUAAAUAAAAAUAUACUACUAAAAUUAAUAUCACUCUUUUUUUUUUUUCUUCUUGCUGUGGUUUCUAGAAAUUUUAUUUAAUUUCGUCCCUUUAGGGCUGCACCCAGAGGAUAUGGAAGUUCCCAGGCUAGGGGUCAAAUCAGAGCUGCAGCUGCUGGCCACAGCCAGAGCAGUGCCAGAUCCUGAGCCUCAUCUGCGACCUACGCCGCAGCUGGUGGCAGCGCCAGGUCCUUAACCCACUGAGCGAGGCCAGGAAUUGAACCCUCAUCCUCAUGGGUACUAGUCGAGUUUGUAACCUGCUGAGCCACAACGAGACCUCUCUAGAGAUUUCAAAUUAUAUCUGCUGCACGUUCUGUUUCCAUGGGUCGCUGCUGAUCUAGACCCUCAUCCCCUUUGCUUCUCUUUGCAAACCAAGCCCCUGUCUCAACCUAGAGAGACAGCUGGUGUGACACAGGGCGUGCGAGCUCUAGACCUGGAGCCAGAGACCAAGCCUAAAUUUUUUCUCUCCUUUAUAAAUGCCGGGUAAUUUAGCAGUGGUUUAAAACUCAUGUUUCAUUUGAAAAUAUUAUCGAUCAUUUCCCAGGUGCUGUCCACUGCGCCUGAUGCUCAGGCUGUAAUGCUGAGCAGAACAUAGGCCCAGGACUCAGAGUUUCCAAUCUAGUGGGGAAGACAGAUAUUAAAUAGUCCUGCAGGAGUUCCCAUUGUGGCUCAGUGGCUUAAGAACCCGACUAGUAUCCAUGAGGAUGCAGGUUCCAUCUCUGGCCUCACUCAAUGGGUUAAGGAUCUGGCGUUGCUGUGGCUGUGGUGUAGGCCGGCAGCUGUAGCUCCGAUUAGACCCCUAGCCUGGGACCCUCCAUAUGCUGUGGGUUCUACCCUAAAAAGGUAGAUAGGUAGGUAGUCAGUCAGUCAAGCAAAUGAAUAAGUAGUCAUGCAAAUAAAUUGUUGUGAUAACUGCUGAGAGGGAAACGGUAUUAUAAGACCAUAUAUCCGGGGGACCUAUCCUAGUCACAUGGAACUCUUUUUAAGAAAUCACAUUUUCUAAAAAGCAUUUUUGCAUAUGUGUGUGUUUAAGAAAUAACAUUUUGAAAUAUGAGAAAGAGUUAUUUAAGAGCAGAUAGUAGUGGAAAAGAGAAUUCCACGCAGAUGGAAUAUUCGCAGAGGUCUUGAGUCAAAACCGGGCAUGGCAUUUUAAAACCUAUGGAUUGGAGAAGUGAAAUGAGUAAGGACUUCAGUAAGAAAUAAAACUUGGAGAGUUAAGUUGGGGAACAAAAUUAUGCAGAAUAAAACUGAUAGGACUGUAUAAUAGAGUCGGUGUGGGCCGUGAGGUGCCUCUGGCUCAGGGCCUCCAUGCGCGUGCUCAUGGUCCCGUUCGCUGGAGGGCUACGUUUUGGUGGAAAUGAGCUUGUGUUUGAUUUGAAACAAAAGCAAACAACCAGGUUUAUAUUUUGUUUUGUCAAACUGAAGGAAGACACCUCCCCCCAGACAGUUUUCUUAGAUGACUCCUCUUUAUUGUCUCAGUCUUGUGAGUGUAACGUAGGAAUCUCUUUGGUCCUUAUCUGCCUGAUAACCAUUCCGAUCCUGUUUCUCUAGCAAAAUGUUUAGACUGGUCGGUUGAAUAAGAUCAAGAUGAGUUCUGUUCUGUGCUGCUCUGGAGCUCUGUUUAGCAGACCACAUUGAGUGUCUGUUACAAAGUGCAAGUCAGAAUGUGGAUUCAGUAAAUACUGAUGUUUCCUGGUCCUUGGCCCUCUUCUCUCGCUGGAUUCUCUCCCUAGGUGACCUCAUACCGACUUCUCAUAGUCUCAGGGCCUCCUGAGACUAAGAGCUCCCAGGCACGGAUCCCUGGGCAGACUUGCCCUCUCAUCAGCAGGCGUUCGCCCCUCUUUGCACAGACGUCUCUUCCGGACACAUCACAUUCAGUGUGUCCAAAUGCAGACUCCUCAUCCCUCCCCACCAAACCCUAGGGAAUGGCACUGCCAGCUCUCUGUUUUAAAAGCCUGGGAGAGGAGUUCCCUUCGUGGCUCAGCAGUUAAUGAACCCAACUUGUAUCCCUGGGGACACAGGUUCAAUCCCUGGCCUUGCUCAGUGGGUUAAGGAUCCGGCUAACGAUUGCCGUGAGCUGUGGUGUGGGUCGAUAACGAGGCUCGGAUCUGGCGUGGCUGUGGCUGUGGUGUAGGCCAGCACCUGCAGCUCCUGUUCAGUCCCUAGCCUGGGAAUCUCCAUGUGCCGUGAGUGCAGCCCUAAAAUAGCAAAAAAAAAAAAAAAAAAA
rnacentral:lncRNA from 1 species